AUCACUUUGCAGUCUUUUAGCUAAGAUUAAGUAUCAUAUCUGUUCUUAUCAGUUCAACAUCUGAUAUGUCCUCCAUCCAAAGACAAUAUUUUAAACUUAUGCCAUUUUUU
rnacentral:snRNA from 1 species